rnacentral:misc_RNA from 1 species
UUGAAAUGCAUGAGAAAGUGUUGAGAGAGAAUGCAUAUCUUCGGAUUCGCAUUCCACCAAGAAAAGUGAAUGGCUUCUUGUGGGGUUGGAGACAUCAUCACCCAGAUGCUCCUGUUUCAGGGUACUUGAGGGCUUUUGUGAAUUCUAGUUUUUCUUCUGUGACACGUUACUGUUUCCUUUCAGUAGUUCUACAGAUAAAAAAAUUCAACACCUGCAUUUGAUCUUUUGCCUAAUUCUACAAUAAAACAUCUGGAAAUAAAUGGCAACAAUGCUAAACAGUAAAUAAAAUCUCACCCAUCUUAUGAACGGAACUUCAAAAUUUUGAUUAUUGAGAGAAUUUCCCGCGGAAUUCUUACUUAAAUCUUGAUUGGAAACAUAAACUGAAGGCCAAGUUCAUGAAAUUGACACCAACAGUAGAGAGAAGAGGGUAUUUGAGAUACAGGGGAGACAGCAGAGAAAAAAAAAUCAAAAUGUAUAUGGGAAUUGACUAAAAUCAUUCAUGAGUCCAUCUUGACUCAACUCAGAUGAAUUCUGGCCAAAACUCUCGAUCAAUACACCACAAGCAACAGGAAAUUCAGAGAGAGUCGUCAUGCUACUGCGAUCAUUCAAGAUAGGAGAAGAAGAAUAAUUUGCAGUAUACCGCGCUAGACGAGCUCUAGCAAUGGAAAGAUCAAAUUGUAGCUCAACCAUCUUUCUUUGCAACAAAGCUAUAGCUCCAAUGCAACCAUAGACAGGGUCUCUCAGCCUUGCUUCAGCCUCAUAAGCUAGAGAAUUAACCGUGUCUUCUCGUUGCUCUUCAGGAACUUCAGUCAAGAUCUUGCUCACAUUGCUUGCACCAAAGACCUUGUGUACUUUAGCAAACUUUUUAGGCUCAUCAGAUCGAAAAUAUGGUGCGAAUAUGCAAUUGGGUAUGCAUCUUCUUUUCAAGAACUUGCAGGCUGCACAUGAGGAGCUUGAACGAGGUUCAUGACUCCUCAUUUUGCUUCAUGUCACAUCCACUUUCUUUUUUGUUCUAUCCUUCCCAUCAAUCCAACAUAUAUUAAUACGCUUGCGCAUAGGGUAAAAUCUUCAUCUACAGUGCUGCAUUCUUU